rnacentral:misc_RNA from 1 species
AACGCACAUUGCGCCCUUUGGUAUUCCUUAGGGCAUGCCUGUUCGAGCGUCAUUUCAACCCUCAAGCGCAGCUUGGUGUUGGGCGCCCGUCCCGCCCCGCCCGGGGCGCGGACCCGCCUCAAAUGCAUUGGCGGCCGGUACCUUGGCUUCGAGCGCAGCAGAAACGCGGACUCGGGGCCUCGGGGCCGAUCCCCCAGAAGCCAUCUCACUAUGGUUGACCUCGGAUCAGGUAGGGAUACCCGCUGAACUUAA